AUUGAACGCUGGCGGCAGGCCUAACACAUGCAAGUCGAGCGGAUGAAGGGAGCUUGCUCCUGGAUUCAGCGGCGGACGGGUGAGUAAUGCCUAGGAAUCUGCCUGGUAGUGGGGGAUAACGUCCGGAAACGGGCGCUAAUACCGCAUACGUCCUGAGGGAGAAAGUGGGGGAUCUUCGGACCUCACGCUAUCAGAUGAGCCUAGGUCGGAUUAGCUAGUUGGUGGGGUAAAGGCCUACCAAGGCGACGAUCCGUAACUGGUCUGAGAGGAUGAUCAGUCACACUGGAACUGAGACACGGUCCAGACUCCUACGGGAGGCAGCAGUGGGGAAUAUUGGACGAUGGGCGAAAGCCUGAUCCAGCCAUGCCGCGUGUGUGAAGAAGGUCUUCGGAUGGGAAAGCACUUUAAGUUGGGAGGAAGGGCAGUAAGUUAAUACCUUGCUGUUUUGACGUUACCAACAGAAUAAGCACCGGCUAACUUCGUG
rnacentral:rRNA from 1 species